AUGUUUAUCCCUUGGGUCCACAUGGCAAGGGUGAGGAGUGUGCACCACCUCACCCCUGCCAUGUGGACCCAAGGGAUAAACCAUCAACCCUGCUCAAUGGUAAACUUUCCUGGCGGGAUCACCCAUGAGGCUGUCACAAUGGGUGUAGCUAACCUCUCCAUGAGUUUUCCUGUUUGCAGGUGGGCGCGCCCGGAGAGCAGCUGCUGCGAUUUCCCUCAUCAGCUCGCAGGGGAUUUAAGGAGCGGUGUGACAACUCACCAGUGCCGGAUGAUUACUCGCAUUGGGUACUCUCAUCAUCUGCCUGUUACCAACUCGUCAACCUGCACUCUCACCUGUUACAACAAGGCGCCUACGGAUCUCCUGUCCACCCGCCACACCGCUUCUCUUUGGCCGUCUGCUCUCCUGCGCUCACCUGCCCGCUCUCGGAACCGGUGCUCAGCUCCCAGCCUCCUCCAACAGCUACCACUCAGACCUGACACGCCCCCCUCUCAGCGCUCCACUACCUUACUGGACUCCGUAAGCCUCCAUUCUAUCACACCUUCCCCAUCUGCCUUACAUUACUCAUUCUUGUUCUCUGUCUCAGAACGCUGCCAGAACCGCCCUCCUCCGACAUCUCCCCAGCCUCGUCAAACUCAAAUAAAGAUAUAUUAUUUUUACUCACCUUGUCUCUUCGUGAUUCUGCAUGUCAUGGGUCAAAAGACUCGAUCCCAACAUGACAGAGGCCAUUCAUGUCGCUACACAACCAACUACAAAACAUAACAGGUACUUACUCUUCUUUCCUAUGAAAGUCAGCAAGACUUUAGUGUUUUUAUUUACCAGGAGACUAAAUUAAAACAUGGUUAAUAAAAUUCAUUUUCUGUUGAAGCCCCACAUUAAUACGCAUCUCCACCUACAAGGUUUCUGCCACAUCUUGGCCAGCCCAGCCCCAGUGCAAUCAGAAAAGCUGAGUUCUUGUUCUGAUAAGUUUUAGCGCUAAAGCGUUCCUCCCCAUUUCUCUAAACUGAGAUCCUGUCUCAUUUUGAUAAGAUAUAGACAACUCUAAAGUGCUUAAUAGAAGCCCAUCCAAAAUCAAUAAAUUAAUAAAUAAUAAAAUAGAGAAAAAUAUUUUCCAGAUUGUGCUGCUGGAAGGAGUCAUGUUUAUGUUUAUGUUUAUUUAUUUAGCAGAUGCUUUUAUCCAAAGCGACUUACAAUUUAUAACCUAUAGGGCAUGUUGUGAUCUGUGGGGGAAACCGGAGUACCCGGAGGAAACCCACGCAUGCAUGGGGAGAACACGCAACUCCACGCAGAAAGGCCGC
rnacentral:lncRNA from 1 species